CCGAAGUGUAGGAUUGGCUGGUCGGACAGAACCCUCUCAGAUUCUGAAGGCAUAAGAAGUAUGAUAUGAAUUCCUCAGAAGUUGGAUAUGUGACUAGUUGAUCAAGACUUCCCCAGAAGCUGGAGUGUAAUUCUGCAUUAGGGCUACAUAUUCUGAAAUCUCUGAGGACAGAAUGAGAAGAAACUCCAUACUAACUUCCCAGACCAUUUGAUGACUUUAACAGAGGCAAAGGGUGGCUGUGUACAUUCCUUUGGAAGGUUCUAUUCUCCUCAGUUGGUUUGAUUCUUGUGGAAUUUCUAACAUAAUACAUGUACCCUUGAUAAAAUUCUUCAUUGGAUCAUCUUUUAGAUAAAGGACAAGCAAAAAGAAAACUUCUCAGCAAUCAGAAAAUACAAGGUUAGAUUUCCCCCCCAUUUGAUAAACUCAGAGAGGUCAGAGCAUCCGGAGUGCAAUGAACAAUACUCCAGCUGGGAAAGCAUCUUGUGAUCGAUCAUCUGUCUCCCCUAUGAUCCAUUUGUGUACUUGGAUGAUAUUUUUCUUAGAAAUUGAGUUUUCUAUAGUUUCUGGCCCUUUAACUUCUAGUUUGUAAAAUUGACUGAACUCUCAUUCAUGCUUCAACUCAGUAUAUUUCCAAAAUCUGCACUUGCUCCUUGGGGGUAUUCAUUGGAUCCAGCAUCCAUGUCUCUCACCUCCACGAAGAGGUUGAGGAUGCAAGUAAAAGCCAAACAGAAGCUCACUGUAUGUGUAUGCCAUUUAAUGAAAAGCUGAACACUCAACUUUGUAAGAAAACAACAUCAAAAAACAUGCCCAGGCUGCUAAACUCCAAUUAAGAAAAAAAUCUAUCCAACUGCUGAGAAGGAAAAAUAAAUUUGUCUAAUUGCCCUACUUGGAAAUCUAAAGUUACAUUGCAUGGUGUGCACUUGAUUAAUAUAGAAGACAAGCUAUGUUUAUGGAGCCAGCAAACAGCUUCUCCAUGUUCCUGCCUCAUGGUUCCUGCACUGAGUUCCUGCUCUAAUUUCCUUCAGGAUGGGCUGUGACUGUGAAGGGUAAGCUAAAAUAAACUCCUCUGUCACAA